CUGGGAUUACAGGCGUGAGCCACUGCGCCUAGCCUAGCUCCUUCUUAUAAGUGAGAACGUUCAGUAUUUGACUUUUGGUUCCUGAAUUAAAUGUAUUUCUUUAAUUCACAGGUCUUCAGAUUGAGAGGAGCAGAACAUGAGGUACUGAACUCAAGAGGUCUCACGUGCACUUGGACCUGAUUUACAUGACAAGGUUCUGGCCUGAUUCAGUAACAUGAUACAAUCUUAUGUGGGGUAUUGGGAGGUUGAGUAUGUAUUUUUCAUGGGGAAGAAUGUAAAUAAUCCAUGGAAUAAAAAAUAUGACUUUUAAAAUGUGGCCUCAGAAUCCUUUGCACUCCUCUCAUUAAGAAGUAAGGUCUAUGAGUUUCCCUUUGAAUUUGAGUGGGCUUUUGACUUCUUCAUUCAAUACUGCAAGUUUCAAGUGAUGUUAUGUGACUUCUAAAUCUAGAUUAUAAAAGGUCUUGCAGAUUUUGCAUAAUUUUUUUAAAUUACACAAAAAUCAUUUUUGCAUAAUUCUCCUUCCUGGAGCUUUCAUUCUUGUACAUUCCCUCCCAGAAUCUAGCCACCAUGCUGCGAGAAUUCCAAGCCUCACAGAGAGGGCCCGUGUAGGUUCAAAGUACUAGAGUCCCAGUUGAGACUGUCCUUGAGCCACCACACCCCGAAAAGCAGACUGUGGGUAGAGUUAAUAUUGGAAAUGUUUUCUCCAGUCUUAGUUGUCCCAGCCCCCGGCUUCUAGAGGUAUCUCCAGCUGUUUAAGAGAUCUCAACUGAGGUAGCAGAUAUGGUAAAGUUCUAAAAUGCCACUCCUAUUCUGUACACCCUAAUUUCCAAAUUCACAUAAUUUGUAACCAUAAUAAAGCAAUUGCAAUCAUGUACUACUAAAAUAUAGGAUAUUUUAAACACAGCAACUUUAAAAGAAGUAUUGACAUAUUUUGCUACAUUGAAGUCAUGCUCUCUGUAGCCAAGAGACUCUCUUUUCACUUCUUUUUAAUUAAACUCAUACUUCCUCCAACUCAUACUUGUGAAAUAUCAUUAUUUAUGAGUAUUGAGCAAAACAUUAUUCAAAACUACAUAUACAGCAUUUAUUCCUUUAAAUGGUCCAUGUCUUUUUGAAAACCUUCUUAGCUAGACCUUCCCUGUUUUCUAGUUAAAUUCCCCAGUACUCAGUGACAUAUGUAAUUGAUGUGACUAUAUUCGACCACUGGACCAAAGAAUUUCUAAGAGAUUUAGUAUUUAGUAAGGCAAUCUGCCAAACCACUGAGAUGGUUCCAGUAGUGAUAUAGGUGAUAUAUAAAAAUUAAAACCCACUCACCCUUACUGGCAAUAACACAGAUGCUGGAAUCAGAUGACUGAUGUUUUCUGUCUUGCCUGGAGCUGUUUAUGUUCUGCCUUAUUUGUUAAAAGCCAGAAGCAUCUCUGAGAACAAUCAGAUGUUCACGUCUUCUACAGAAAUUUAAUGACCAUUGUGUCAAUUUCUUCACAGUUCUCCCCCAUUGGCAUGCUGAUAAAUGAGAGUCUGAAGCUUUGACAUAAAAACCUAAACUCUACCUGUGUACAGAACAGAAACAGAAUGAGAGCGAAAAAACAACUAUACUGAAAGCAAAUUGAAGAGAAUUGUGAACUUUCUUCUGAAUGCAUAUAUUUUGCUCGACAAGUUUAGCUUCCAUAAAAAUCUGAAAUCUAGAAUGUCUGUCCUAUUAUUUAUUCAUAAGCUUGUAACUUUAUGGGAGAUAUUUCCCCAUUAUUCUUUACGAACACUUGAUAUUCUUUUCAUUAGAGAAGAUAUUUUACCUGCUUCAUUCUCAAGCAAUGCCUUCACUAAACACUAAGCACUUCAAAGAAGUUGCCUGUGUGUAAUAAAGCAAUGUGCUAAUCUUGACAGAUCACCCUGCUUAUUUCUCUGCAGUAAGUGUUUAGUUAUAAAGGA
rnacentral:lncRNA from 1 species